GUGGGGGGGGGGUGAAGUAGCAUCUUGGUGUAGCACACACUGAAGGGGCGACACGUUUGUCAUGUCCACUGAGAAGCAACAUAUACAUAACAAGCGCAUUCAAAUUCACUAAUGCAGACAGCCAGACUCUCUCUAUCUCUCUAUCACAUAAACACUCAGACCCCCACUCCUAUCGCCGCCUCCCCGUUCACUUCACGCUUUGCUGACAUGCACAUUGAGCCAUCUUGAAAUCGCAGCGAUAAUCUGGCCCCUUAAAACGUCUGUUACAUCUGUUCAUGAGUGAAAAUGACUAAUGCAGUUGAGCUGACCCGGCGCCGUUCUGUUGGACGCGAGUGUUUCCGGGGCGCCACCGAUGCUACAUCUCAUCAAGCUAAAGCUGCAGUUUGAAACUUUUACAGAAAUAUGUUUUUUGUUUUUACAUAUUUGUCUAAACCGUCACUUUGUUGGUGACAGUGUGAGGCAGAUAACAUGGAAAAACCAAUCGGGCUCCUUCACUUUCUCCCCCGGUGCUACUGUUACCGUCUGCAGAAAUAUCAGUACAAAACAGCCAAUCAGAGCCAGGAGUAUAGUCUUAGCAAUGUCAAUCAUUCCCAUGUACACGUUCCUAAAUGUGCUCAUGGGAGUGAAACAACUUUAGGAAAACUGUGUAACUGCUGGCAUCGGUGGCCAGGCUAACUAGCUUUAGCAUUGAUAGCAGGCCCCAUGGUGGAAACCCAGCUGUAGCCUAGUAAAGAGCAAGGCGGAGGAUGUGGGUAACACAUACAGGAGAAUGAUUGACAGUGCCAAGACCCUCCUUUUGGCUCUGAUGGGUUGUUUCUGGGAGUAGGUAGAGCAGUUUUAUUUUAUUUAUUUUUUUCAUAGAUUAUUUGUCUCAUAACAUGCUGUUGUAACAUAACUCCUAUGUUUAUGUUUGUUCCAAAUAAAGAAAUAAUAUCCGUUUUUUUUGUGUGUUUGUUUGUUUUUUAGGACACUUCCAGUUAUUUGUUUUAUAGGUGAUCUAACAUUUACCACUGAUUAAAACAGAUUUUUGGGGCAGCAUCAUCAGGUGUGACUGAAGUCACGUGAACGGUUAAAAGGGGGCGCGUGCAUCGGUGCGCGGCGGCCCAAAAGGUGAGACACACCUGCUAUCAAUGCUAAAGCUAGUUAGCAAGGCCACCGAUGCUAGCAGUUACACAGUUUUCCUACAGCGGUAAGAACGCACGCGACCAGGUCCAUGCGGCAAGAUGAAUCCCUUUAAGGAUGUCAAACAGACAAACAUAAAAUGAAAGAAAAAAGACGUAAAAGGCUGAGUUGGCCCUCCUGCAACACGGAUCUCGGAUCAGGAACUGUUGGGAGCUUUCCGUCCAGGUAGACGUCGCCAGGUAUGAGACGCCAACGAGGAGGGAAAAGACCAAAGCUCUCGGUUCCACAUUUGGGUUCUGGAGACAGGAAGCAGGCUCCCUGGAAGCAGUAGUUCAGAGCUCCGUACAUGCAGAUGUAUCAUGGUGACACUGAUGAUGUCUUGUCACACUCAAAAGAACCAACAAAGAACACAUAAGACGUCAGAACUGGGAGCAAGGUUAUCAGUGAGAUACGGUGCCAAAGGUCAGACAGGACUCCUCUCUGUGAACCCCUGACCCUGCCGUGACCCCUGGACAAUAAGAUUCAUCAGGCUGAUUUUCCUGCUGAGUUCACAUAGGUCAUCUUCUCUUCAAAGACGCGCUGAGCUCCCGGUAGCCACUCGGGUCACUGUUCCUGAAAGAGCCACCAAGCGUCUGGCCGCACAGAAAGGAUACACACCGCAUAAAAACGAACAAAAUCCAGAAAAAAAGAGAGAAGAAAAACAAAAUGGACAGUGGCACAAAUAUUCUGUGGAUCUCUGAUGUCUCAGGUUGAGAAAUCUGCAGAGAUCACCCCUUGACCUUUUAGCCGAAGCGGCCCUGAUGGGUAAUGAUGAUACUGAUGGCUUGACAGCCAUCUUACCCGGUGGCCAUCUGGAGCAGCUGACAUGGUGGCUGAUUGAGAAGGAGACUUGCCACUGGCCAUGAAUUGAUUUUUUUUUUUUCUCCACUCAGACUCAGGAGCUCAGAGCAACGUGAACUCUGACCUUUGAUAGUUGAACUGGAGGUCACUGUCAAUGCCUUUUUCACCAUCUUUAUCACAUCUGAACAACAAAAUAUCACCUCAUAGCUUAAUGUCAUAAGCAGCCGUCUGCUUGACUAGUUUCUG